UCCCUGGUGGUCCAGUGUCAAAGACUCUGCACUCCCAAUGCAGAGGGCCUGGGUUUGAUCCCUGGUCAGGCAA
rnacentral:tRNA from 1 species